rnacentral:misc_RNA from 1 species
AGAAGGAGGCAGAAGAUCAGAAAAAGAGAGAAGCUGAAACAAGAUCGUAUGCAAACUUAAUGAGAGCAGAAAAUAUGACAUCAAAUAGAGAUGAUGGCAAUGAUUCGGAUGAUUUUAUGUGAAGUAAAAAAUGACAAACCAAAUGUCUUUCAUCAAUCAGCUUCAGAUAAAGAAUGGGAUCUGAAGUAAAGAGGAAAACUGAUUAAACUGCUUGUUUUUUUAAUAUUUAUAGCUCAUAAGCAAAACUUGAGCCAGUUUUCUCAGACACCUGCAGUUUCUCUCAAAUUUAUACCAUAAACAUGUUAUUGUUUUCUUUAAAAUUGAUAGGUGACAUUGAAAUUAAGAGCAUAUCAACUGCUACAAUGCUCUCCUCGUAUGUGUUGUCUAUGAAUUGGCAUAUGAUGAAAUCAGACUCCUUUAUAGUAUAUUGACUGCAUAUUGACAGUGUAUAUAUUAUAUCUUAUUGCUCUGUUCAAUAAAAUUAUCAAAAUGUG